rnacentral:rRNA from 1 species
UACGUAGGUGACAAGCGUUGUCCGGAUUUACUGGGCGUAAAGAGCGCGCCAGGCGGUCGAUCAAGUCGAGUGUGAAAGCCCCCGGCUCAACUGGGGAGGGUCAUUCGAUACUGAUCGACUCGAAGGCAGGAGAGGGUAGUGGAAUUCCCGGUGUAGUGGUGAAAUGCGUAGAUAUCGGGAGGAACACCAGUGGCGAAGGCGGCUAACUGGUCCAGAUCUGACGCUGAGGUGCGAAAGCGUGGGGAGCAAACAGGG